rnacentral:lncRNA from 1 species
GGAUACUAAACCAGGGCUUUCCAUUGAAGCCGGUAGCCGGCGGAAAUCCGCCGUUUGCGGUGGCUUCAAGUGCCGGCUACUUCACUGACAAAAAUAUAAAUUCAAAAAGAAAAUAAUAUCUUUUUCAAAUGUUUACAGGCAGCCGAGAGACGUAUUUUCGCAAAGUCGCGGUCACGAUAAACAAGGAUGAAAAGUCAGUGUUUACCUUGGGCUAAAUAUAGUUCACAUGAAUUCAGGUCACUGAUUGGUUGUCUGUUUAAAGUCAGAAUGCAUCGUUUCUUUUCAAAGAUAACAAGAGAGACGUUCCGGUGGUCAUUGAAUGAUAACAAUAGAGACGUUCCGAGGGUCA